UUUGUUUUGAGAGAUAAGAAGAGAAGAGAAGAGAAAAUUUAGGAUAGAAAUUUGAGAAGAGAGAAGAAGAGAAAUGGGAAAAGAUGGAGGAAUUAUGGUCAUUUUUUUUCCCUCCAAAAGUGAAGUGAAAAGAAGAGAAAGAGACUGAUUGUUCCUAACGCAAGUGGUAAAAUAUUUGGUAGUUGGUGCCCGAUGUCCCAAAAUCGAAUUCUAGUUGAUUCAUAUUUCCAGCUAAGGGCAUGUUUGUUUAGGUGGAAGUGGAGUGGAACUGGAGUGGAAGGAAGUCGUUUUCGCUGUAAACAAUUAUUUUCGUUAUUUGGUUCGCCGUAAAUAAGUUACGGUCGAAACUCGAGUAAACCUUAAACGGCGUAAUUGACUUCGGCUCAUCGUGGGCCGAGGUCAAUUACGGUGAAGAGAGGUAAAAAAAAAAUAAUAAAAUAAUAUACUAGGUAAAGAUAAUUAUAUUUAAAUAUAUUUAAUUAUAGUUACUAAUUAUUCUUUUAUUCAGUUGACAUAUUAAAAAUAUGAUAAAAUUAAUUAGUUAAGUUUAAUAUUUUUUUAUUUAAUUUGUAUAACUAAAAUAUGAUAAAAAUUAAUUAAGUAAUAAUUUUUUUUACUUUUUAAUUUUAUUAUUGUAUUACUAUAAUUUAUGUAUAAAAAAUAAUUAAAUGUAAAUUAUAGUUGUUUUAAAUUAAAUUUUAAUUAUAUAAAAAUAUAAUUAUAUAGUUGUUUUAAAUUAAUAAUAUAUGUAAAAAAUAAUAUAGUUGUUUUAAAUUAAAUUUUAAUUAUAUAAAAAAUAUAAUUAUAUUAUUUUUAUUUAUUAAAUUUUUAUUAUAUGUAAAUUAUAGUUUUACAUCAUAUACUUCUUAUCAAACAAACAGCAGAAUUAAUGAAACUUCACUUUUAUAACUACGAAACAAACAGCAGGGAAGAGUUAGUUUUCACUGAACUCCACUUCAACUCAAAGUCCACUUCAACCCAAAGUCCAGUUUCGGUGAAACAAAUAUGUCUUAAGCGAAAUAGGUAGCAUGCUAAGAGAAAGGAAGAAAAAUACUCUUUCUCUUCUUUUCUUUCCUUAAUCCAAACAAUAGAAGAAAUGAGAUCAAUUUGCAUAAAAAAUCCAUUGGUUUUGGAUUUUUGCAAAAAUAUCCUUUUUUCUUAGAUUUUACAUAUUAGAUCAAGAUUUUUAAUAAACUGACCGAAUUAUCUUUAUUCAUCUUUCUAUCUUUUUUCUCUCUCUCAUUAGUUUUUCUUCUCCCUCUUUGUCUCUCUCCUCUUCCUCCAUCGCCCAUAUAUCAAUACUGCGCUCCUCUCUUAUAUCUCGUCCCACUUUCCGCACAAGAUACCAAUAUGAAAUAUAUGUAAAUUAUUAAUGAUGAGCUAAUUUAUCCACCUAAAUAAGAAAAAAUACAUAACUAAUUAAUUUAAUAAUUUACCAGCAAAUUUAAUUGCUAAUUAAUGGAUUACUUGUAUUUAUCCUAACUAAUUCACUAAUUAACUAUUAAAUACUAGGCUUGCAAUUAAUUGGCAAAGCACCUAAUUUUUAUACUAUAAUUUCUCUUUAUUCCCACUCUUUCAAUUUAAUCAUUCAAAUGUAAUUUUUUUAUUCUCACUAUAAAUGGUUCUCAUUCAAACACAAAAUUAAUCAUAUUUCUGUUUGUUACUAUAGUUAUAUCUAUUCUAAAAAUAAGAAUAUUAUGUACUUUAUUUCUAGGGAUAAUUUCAUACAACUCCUUGUAAACAUAUCGAAACCCUACAAAGUUCAAAUUUUCAAAUUUAUCCCUUCAAAAAUCCGGUGAUGUUCAUAUUUGCUCCUCUGAUUUGUUACCGUUAGCUCACUGUUUAUUUUUUAAUAGAAGAUAAAUGAAAUGUCAAUUUUUCUAUCACAAGUAGUCUUCCCAAAAGCCUCAACUAUUAGAAUCGUGCAAAAAUGUCUUUCCAAAAAAAUCUCCAAUUGUCAUCUUCUUACUCCAUUAAAACUAACCUAAUCUAUCAUUAUUGCAAUCUUUUCUCCCUCGCUUGCCUUAUUUUUUUUCUCCUUUACCUAUUUACAAAUGCUUUCCUAGCACUCGACUUGGCGAAAUAACACACGUCAUGAAUGAAUAAUGCUUCCCUGGCACUCGNUUUAAUUUUUAAUUUAAGUUCAAAUUAAAAUUUAAAUUUAUAAAUAUAACUUUUAAACUUAAACUUAUAUUUUAAUUAAAAAAAUAAGCUUAAAAAUUUAAAUUUAAUCCGAACAAAUUCAUUCCAUCCGGAUUCAAUUUCCAAUCCGGCCUAAGAGGCCGGAUUGAAAAAAGGGGUAAUUGAGGGAUUCCCAUUCGCCCUGGAAUCAAAAUCGAAAUGGGAAACGGAUUCGUCCAUUCCAAUUCUGAUUCCAGAGUGAACCAAACACGCUCGUAGGGUUUUAAUCGAAUUAGGGUUUUGAUUGAGAGAAUAAGGUAUAAUAUUAGAGCAGUAAAAAAGUCAAUGGAUCCUACUCACUAACUAAGGUUAAUAUUUUACCUAUGGUUAACUAUAUUAUUCUAAAGAUAUUAACCAUAGGGAUAAUUUGAAACCAUUAAUAGAAUUUUUGAGAAAUAAAUAUGAAAACUUAAAGUUUGUAGUAAUAUAUUUGUCAUUUGAUAUAUUUAUAGAGAUCUGCAUGAAAUUAUCCUUAAUUCUGACUAAAUGGAUAUUCCUAUUUUAGGCCCAUUUCU
rnacentral:lncRNA from 1 species